GGCAGCAGGGGGGGAAUUGUUCGCAAUGGGCGCAAGCCUGACGACGCAACGCCGCGUGGAGGAUGAAGAUCUUCGGGUCGUAAACUCCUGUCGAGUGGGAAGAAUAGUUUCGGGGCUAACAUCCCCGGAGCCUGACGGUACCACUAAAGGAAGCCCCGGCUAACUCCGUGCCAGCAGUCGCGGUAAUACGGGGGGGGCAAGCGUUGUUCGGAAUUACUGGGCGUAAAGGGCUCGUAGGCGGCCAACUAAGUCGGAUGUGAAAUCCCCAGGCUCAACCUGGGAACUGCAUCCGAUACUGGAUGGCUUGAAUUCGGGAGAGGGAUGCAGAAUUCCAGGUGUAGCGGUGAAAUGCGUAGAUAUCUGGAGGAAUACCGGUGGCGAAGGCGGCAUCCUGGACCGACAUUGACGCUGAGGAGCGAAAGCUAGGGGAGCAAACGGGAUUAGAUACCCCGGUAGUCCUAGCCCUAAACGAUGAAUGCUUGGUGUAACGGGUAUCGAUCCCUGUUGUGCCGAAGCUAACGCGUUAAGCAUUCCGCCUGGGGAGUACGGUCACAAGGCUGAAACUCAAAGGAAU
rnacentral:rRNA from 1 species